AAGGGUCUGAAUACUUAUGUAAUGUUUUUUAUUUUUUUUAUAUGCACUGUAUGUCAAUCUAGAACAGGAUUAUCUAUUUUGGAUGCAAUUUGAAUGGAGUUGGAGUGUGCUUCGGUGCACUGAUUUAAAUCAACAGUAUUCGAGUGAUAGUCUGCAAUAAUAAAUAAAAAUGUUUCAAUUAAAAAAUCAAGGUGACCCCAGAAAGCCAGAUAAAUUAGACACGAAUUUGGUCUUUAUAUUACUGUAGCAUAGGAUAUGCUGCAGCAGAUGUAGGUGUACCUGGGUAAUGUGUGUGUGGGUCGGGGGGGACGGGGGGGGGGGGACUUCUUGCCUUACUGUAUGUGAGGAUUGGUCCCCAAGGCAACUAAGGAGAAUUGGGGGAAGAUAGAAACCGGUGGUAACAACAAUGGAUAUUUGUUGUUUAUGUGCUGUGGACGUGUAAUGCCUCUGACUCACCAGCCGUCGUGUCCGUCUGUGAGGGUGAAUGGAGCCGUCCUCCUCCAUGCAACACACAAACUGCUGGAACAACAAAUGCUGUGCUGCGGCCUCCUGGCAUGUUAGCUCUCCCACUGAGCUUUGGGUCAGAGGGUUUUUAUCUGUUAUUUCUACUCUUCACCGCUCUGCUCCCGUCUCACUUCCUGUUCCUCCAGGGGUGCAACAGAGUUGUUUGUGGCUGAGGCACAGAGAAUUAAAGGAGUGGGUCUCAGGACACAGACCAUAGGGAGUCAAACCAUGACUAUCAAGGAUAAUUGGUCACUUUCCUGUGCUCUGAUUUUCAUGUCCUCCUUGGGAAGAACAAGUAAGAUGUACCAUUAAAUCAUUUGUGUGAUUCACAGGUAUGACCGAGGGGCAAGAGCUUGUUUCCUCUGGUGUAAUUGGAAUACUUCAGUGUUCUUUAAAUUCUCAAACGGAUAGAGAUGCUGGCUGUGGCCAUUAAUGUGCACAGAACAGCCACAGUAACCUUUCCCCUCUAUCUGUCUCUAGGUCCCUGUCUCAGCCUACAAGGGUUCUUUGGAUAAAGGCUAUCUAUGGCCUUAAUUUGGAUGCCGGUGGGCGGAGUUGGGAGGGUCGUCAGCUACAUGGGAAACACCUCGGCCCGGUGUGUCCAGGAUAUAAUCACCACUUCCCCAUUCAUAGGGGAGACUCUCCAUGCAGACACCUUUCUAGAUUUUGUUGUGUUUCUUGGUGGCCUUUUGGUUGUUUGCUUUGGCACCUUUCAACACCCUGCAAUAUCGCAUUUAUACAUGAAAAACACUCACUGACACUACUGAUUACACACACCAUUGUAUAUUGUACUUACUUUACUUUAUUUAAUAAAUAUAUGUUUUGUUACUCCUUA